rnacentral:rRNA from 1 species
ACCCCAACUUCGGAAGGGGUGUAUUUAUUAGAUAAAAAACCCAUGCCUUCGGGGCUCCUUGGUGAUUCAUGAUAACUUAACGAAUCGCAUGGCCUUGCGCCGGCGAUGGUUCAUUCAAAUUUCUGCCCUAUCAACUUUCGAUGGUAGGAUAGUGGCCUACCAUGGUAUCAACGGGUAACGGGGAAUUAGGGUUCUAUUCCGGAGAGGGAGCCUGAGAAACGGCUACCACAUCCAAGGAAGGCAGCAGGCGCGCAAAUUACCCAAUCCCGACACGGGGAGGUAGUGACAAUAAAUACUGAUACAGGGCUCUUUUGGGUCUUGUAAUUGGAAUGAGUACAAUUUAAAUACCUUAACGAGGAACAAUUGGAGGGCAAGUCUGGUGCCAGCAGCCGCGGUAAUUCCAGCUCCAAUAGCGUAUAUUAAAGUUGUUGCAGUUAAAAAGCUCGUAGUUGAACCUUGGGCCUGGCUGGCCGGUCCGCCUCACCGCGUGUACUGGUCCGGCCGGGCCUUUCCUUCUGGGGAUCCGCAUGCCCUUCACUGGGUGUGUCGGGGAACCAGGACUUUUACUUUGAAAAAAUUAGAGUGUUCAAAGCAGGCCUUUGCUCGAAUACAUUAGCAUGGAAUAAUAGAAUAGGACGUGCGGUCCUAUUUUGUUGGUUUCUAGGACCGCCGUAAUGAUUAAUAGGGAUAGUCGGGGGCAUCAGUAUUCAAUUGUCAGAGGUGAAAUUCUUGGAUUUAUUGAAGACUAACUACUGCGAAAGCAUUUGCCAAGGAUGUUUUCAUUAAUCAGUGAACGAAAGUUAGGGGAUCGAAGACGAUCAGAUACCGUCGUAGUCUUAACCGUAAACUAUGCCGACUAGGGAUCGGGCGAUGUUAUUCUUUUGACUCGCUCGGCACCUUACGAGAAAUCAAAGUC